GUUAGUGCCCUGUGCAAUCAUCUGAAGUGUUGAAACACAGACACUCCAAAUGUCACAGACGUGCAUGUCACUGAAUCAUAACUGACAUUUACAAUGUCAGUGUCAAACUGCCGACGGCCGACGAAAAAAUUCCACCCCACAGUCGGUCUGGAGCUAUCAAAAUUCUUUUAUUAAUCUACAAAACUGAUCAACAUCCUUUGGUGCUAGUCCAGGCUCGACGAUCUUUCAAUGGACGUAAUUGAUUUGCUUUUUCGGAAGCAGCUGAGAAACACUAGUAUAAUUUCAAACAUUUCCCUUUGAAAUUGACAUCAAGACCACUGUCAGAUAGAAGGCAUAUGGGACUAGAAAAAGAAGGAAUUUCUUGUCAUUAAAUAAUAUUUACA